rnacentral:rRNA from 1 species
AGUUCGUGGAGUGAUCUGUCUGCUUAAUUGCGUUUCAGAUAUAUGGGGUUUUAAGGUAUUACGACGUAAGGUGCUUCGGUACGCUUACUUAGUAGCCUGCCCCUUUGAAAGCAACGAACGUGACCUCAAACCUAUGUUACCUCAAUUUUAUACUGAGGCUAUCUUAGGUGACUGCCAGAGUUGUCAACUCGGAGGAAGGUUGAGGCAAUAACAGG